CGUAAUGAAAAGAAAGUUACCACUCAUUGGAGUGAGGACGUGGUCGGACAUUCACCCUACCAUUCAUCGACUCAUUAUUGCAGACAUGAUAGACAGAUGGGACUUGGAAGAUACACCAGAAACAGAACAAAAAGUUCUCAAAAUUGCGAAAGAGCGAUAUAGAGGUUGGCGAUCAACUCUAAGCUCCACUUACAAGGCAUACAAAACAGAUACAGCUAGAUUGGCUAAUCUGCCGGAAGAUUUGCAACCAGAAGAGUGGGAAUGGAUGAUUGAGUACUUUGGCACUGAUUCAAAAUUUCAGGAUCGCAGCCAAAAGA